CGAUGAUACAAAAGUGUCUCUAUUAUAUGGAGACAUUUUAUGGAUUGACGGCUGACUUUGGGACCUGACAGGACACUUUUUCAAUCUACAGUGCUGUUUUUGAGGAAGGCAGGUCAAAGUCGCCCCAGGACUCAGUGUUUGCAUUCUCCAUCCUGUGCCUUUUUGCGUUAUCACAUCCUGUGAACCGUGCCAUUCUGCAUUCCUCUCCACACAAAACCUCUCAGCUCAAACCCGGCUGUCUCAGCGUGAGAGAUGGUGGCGAUGGGAUCACAAUUUUGCAGACGGAUGACGUAUUUCAGCAGCGAUGGUGAUGCCUGCAGAUGAUGAGGCAGGAUGAACCCAAAGACUUUGGCCUGAACAUAAAGCACAUCUGGGUGUGAGGCAGUCUGAAAAAAGGGGACGGAUGGAUGGAUGGAUGCAUGAAAAGAAAGACCCAAGAAAGAAAGGCCAACAUCCAAACUCAGAGCCGCUGCCGUUUGGCCCAGCCUGAAUGUUCCUUCAUUCUACGUGAGGCUGCAGCCAUAUUGCACGGCUCCCAAUUCAUUCAGCUGUCAGAGCGCAUUAAAAGCGAUCUUCAUCAUCAAAUCUUGAGCAGGCGCUCUGAUUCCGUCUGAUGUUCCCUGGCUAACCGAAUCAGUUC
rnacentral:lncRNA from 1 species